rnacentral:rRNA from 1 species
ACGGAAGGCAGCAGUGGGGAAUAUUGCACAAUGGGGGAAACCCUGAUGCAGCAACGCCGCGUGAGUGAUGAAGUAUUUCGGUAUGUAAAACUCUAUCAGCAGGGAAGAAGAUGACGGUACCUGACUAAGAAGCACCGGCUAAAUACGUGCCAGCAGCCGCGGUAAUACGUAUGGUGCAAGCGUUAUCCGGAUUUACUGGGUGUAAAGGGAGCGCAGGCGGUACGGCAAGUCUGAUGUGAAAGCCCGGGGCUCAACCCCGGUACUGCAUUGGAAACUGUCGAACUAGAGUGUCGGAGGGGUAAGUGGAAUUCCUAGUGUAGCGGUGAAAUGCGUAGAUAUUAGGAGGAACACCAGUGGCGAAGGCGACUUACUGGACGAUAACUGACGCUGAGGCUCGAAAGCGUGGGGAGCAAACAGGAUUAGAUACCCUGGUA